AGAGCGAACGCUGGCGGCAGGCCUAAUACAUGCAAGUCGAGCGCACCUUCGGGUGAGCGGCGGACGGGUGAGUAACGCGUGGGAACGUGCCCUAAGGUACGGAACAACUGAGGGAAACUUCAGCUAAUACCGUAUGUGCCCUUCGGGGGAAAGAUUUAUCGCCUUAGGAGCGGCCCGCGUUGGAUUAGCUUGUUGGUGGGGUAAAGGCCCACCAAGGCUACGAUCCAUAGCUGGUCUGAGAGGAUGAUCAGCCACACUGGGACUGAGACACGGCCCAGACUCCUACGGGAGGCAGCAGUAGGGAAUCUUGCGCAAUGGGCGAAAGCCUGACGCAGCCAUGCCGCGUGAAUGAUGAAGGUCUUAGGAUUGUAAAAUUCUUUACACCGGGGAAGAUAAUGACGGCACCCGGAGAAGAAGCCCCGGCUAACUUCGUGCCAGCAGCCGC
rnacentral:rRNA from 1 species